UACGGAGGAUGCAAGCGUUAUCCGGAUUCAUUGGGUUUAAAGGGUGCGUAGGCGGUCUUAUAAGUCAGUGGUGUAAUACUGCAGCUCAACUGUAGAACUGCCAUUGAAACUGUGAGACUUGAGUGCGCCUGAGGUAGGCGGAAUGAGUAGUGUAGCGGUGAAGUGCUUAGAUAUUACUCAGAACACCGAUUGCGAAGGCAGCUUACUAAAGCGUAACUGACGCUGAUGCACGAAAGCGUGGGAGCGAACAGG
rnacentral:rRNA from 1 species